CAAGUCGAGGGGCAUCAUUUCAGUUUGCUUGCAAACUGGAGAUGGCGACCGGCGCACGGGUGAGUAACACGUAUCCAACCUGCCGAUUACUCGGGGAUAGCCUUUCGAAAGAAAGAUUAAUAUCCGAUGGCAUAUUUAGACCGCAUGGUCUUAUUAUUAAAGAAUUUCGGUUAUCGAUGGGGAUGCGUUCCAUUAGGCAGUUGGUGAGGUAACGGCUCACCAAAACUUCGAUGGAUAGGGGUUCUGAGAGGAAGGUCCCCCACAUUGGAACUGAGACACGGUCCAAACUCCUACGGGAGGCAGCAGUGAGGAAUAUUGGUCAAUGGACGAGAGUCUGAACCAGCCAAGUAGCGUGAAGGAUGACUGCCCUAUGGGUUGUAAACUUCUUUUAUAUGGGAAUAAAGUGUUCCACGUGUGGAAUUUUGUAUGUACCAUAUGAAUAAGGAUCGGCUAACUCCGUGCCAGCAGCCGCGGUAAUACGGAGGAUCCGAGCGUUAUCCGGAUUUAUUGGGUUUAAAGGGAGCGUAGGUGGACAGUUAAGUCAGUUGUGAAAGUUUGCAGCUCAACCGUAAAAUUGCAGUUGAUACUGGCUGUCUUGAGUACAGUAGAGGUGGGCGGAAUUCGUGGUGUAGCGGUGAAAUGCUUAGAUAUCACGA
rnacentral:rRNA from 1 species